rnacentral:lncRNA from 1 species
AAUCCAACAGGACCCACUAGAGCCAUCCACACUUUCCCCAGCCUCUUCCAAAACAGCACACUUUCCUAGAGACGUAGGGGCUGUGUUGACCAGGCUGGUCUCGAACUCUUGGCCUCAAGCCAUCCUCCCACCUCAGCCUCCCAAAGUGCUGGGAUUACAGGCUUGAGCCACCACAUCCAGCCUACCUAAAAUAUUGAAUGCUGUUAAUAAAUCUCCUGAGGCCAGCAUAAGAAGUUGAUGGGCAAAACUAAUGCAGGGUUUCAAUUGUGCAAUUUCACCAUUAGCAAAGCUUUUUGCUGAAAUCUGGCUUUUCAAAGGGAGAGUAUCCAGAAACAGAAGAUGCUGAUCUGGGAGACUCUUCCUAAUAGAACUGCUGCUUCAGUUUAACUUGGAAAAGCCCACACCCAGUUCCUAAUGACAAACAUCUGAACACCGGGUCUUCCCACGAGCAAGACCAUGCUAUGCCUCCUGCUCAUUCUGUUCUAUAAGCAACCUACAGAUUGCUCCCUGUGAAGAGGAGCCUGCCAGGGGAGCAGCAUUCCACCAGACCCUGAUUUAGCAAG